AACUUGGUGCUGGUUAAGUCUUUAAUGCUCUCCUCACUCCUGGUCAUUCUUCAUAACAGAAACAGAGCAGACCUUGAGCUCAGUAUCUCUAUCAGGUUCAAAUUGCUACAUCAAUACGUCUACCAAAUGGUCCACUUGGUCUGUGAUUAUUCAGACAGUCCUUUGCACAUAAGCAUCUGUAACAGAGACUUCCAUUUGUCAGCCGGUGUCCCUUCCUCUCUUCUUCCUUACAAGCAAAGGUUUUAUUCAGGGUGGCAACGUGACCAGUUAAAAGACUACAUUUCCUACCCUCCCCAUGCGGGGUAACUGCGAUGGUUGGAGCUCCAGGAGUCUUCUUGGAUCACCUGAUAUCCUUGAGGAUGGAAGUUUUGUACCACAGAGCACAAAGAUAGAAGGAAGCUGGGUGCUUGGUGAAUUUCUGGAGCUUCCAUACCAACCCUGCACUCUAACUUUACUUGCAGUAAAGUAAACCCUUGUGUG